GCGCAGCAGUCGCGAAACCUCCGCAAUACACGAAAGUGUGACGGGGCCAUCCCGAGUGCCGUCCGCUGAGGACGGCUUUUCCCCAGUGUACAUAGCUGGGGGAAUAAGGAGAGGGCAAGCCUGGUGUCAGCCGCCGCGGUAAUACCAGCUCUCCGAGUGGUGGGGACGCUUAUUGGGCCUAAAGCAUCCGUAGCCGGCUAGGCAAGUCCUCCGUUAAAUCCAACGAUUCAAUCGUUGGGCUGCGGGGGAUACUGUCCAGCUUGGGGGCGGGAGAGGCCGACGGUAUUCCCGGGGUAGGGUGAAAUCCUAUAAUCCCGGGAGGACCACCAGUGGCGAAGGCUGUCGGCUAGAACGCGCCCGACGGUGAGGGAUGAAAGCUGGGGGAGCGAACCGAAUUAGAUACCCGUGUAGU
rnacentral:rRNA from 1 species